GCCUCCCUGUAGCAGCACACUCCCUGGGAAAGAAAACCCCAAGAGCUCACUGCUCGCAGAGACUGAGGAUAUCCCAGAAUUCUGGAACUCUCCAUCAGUUUCAAAGCACGGUGCUGUGCCCGGGAUGAGAUUUACGCACCAGAAGGGCACUUGGUGGAAGUGAGACGAGUGCUGUGGUUUUUUGGGGGGUUUUUGUUUGUUUUCAAUGAUGCUUUGCCUCAGAGGAAGCUGAUGGGACAAUGCCCAGAGUUUGGUCAGGCUGGUCAGCUUUCCGGAAACCUCUUGGACAGGGCUGUGAGAACAUGUCGGUGGAGAGCUUUGGGCAACGACAGCUCAGGACGGGGAACAGACAGAGCAGCGAACGAUGCUCCCAGCGUGCCGGCGGCUACAGGAGACCGGAGUGUCCCCAUCCCCGGGUAUCAAGGGAAAGGGAGGAGGAGGAGGCAGCGCCGGUACCCCGCCCGCACCCAGCCGUGCGCUCCCGGCCGCGGGCACGGAGAUGCGCGGGGCAGAGCCCGGGGCCGGGCGCGGCGGAGCCGGGA